rnacentral:rRNA from 1 species
GAUGAACGCUGGCGGCGUGCCUAAUACAUGCAAGUCGAACGCAUCCCGUUAAAUGAAGUGCUUGCACGGAUUUUAACAUUGGAUGAGUGGCGAACUGGUGAGUAACACGUGGGUAACCUGUCCAGAAGCAGGGGGAUAACACUUGGAAACAGGUGCUAAUACCGUAUAACAACAAAAAACCGCAUGGUUUUUGUUUGAAAGGUGGUUUCGGCUAUCACUUCUGGAUGGACCCGCGGCGUAUUAG